rnacentral:lncRNA from 1 species
CUGGAUGCCAUGAUCUUCGUUUUCUGAAUGUUGAGCUUUAAGCCAACUGUAUUAUCCAACAAAAAUUUCUGUCAUGAUGGAAAUGUCUUCUAUUUUUAAGACUGUCUAUUAAGGUAACCACUAGCUGCAUGGGCUGCAGAGUACUUGAAAUGUGAUUAGUGUGACUGAGGAACUGAAGUUUUAAUUUAUUUAUUUCUACUUAAUGUAGCCAGUGAAUACCAUCAUAUUGGUUUGCGCAGGCUGCCAUAAUGGAAUGCCACAGCACAGGUGGCUUAAACAACAUAAGUGUAUUAUCUCACAGUUCUGGAGGCUGGCAAUCCAAGGUCAAGGUGUGGCCAGGCUUGGUUUCUCCUGAGGUCUCUCUCCUUGGUUUGUAGAUGGCUGUCUUCUUGCUGUGUCCUCACAUGGCCUUUCCACUGGGUGCACACAUCCCUGGUGUCACUUGUGUAUCUGCAUGUCCUCUUCUUAUAAGGGCACCAGUCAGAUUAGAUCAGGAUUCACCCUAACAAUGUCAUUUUAACUUGCUCAUUUCUUUAAAGGCCCUAUCUCCAAAUACAAAUGCAUUCUGAGCUACUGAGGGUUCGGGCUUCAAUAUAAGCGUUUUGCGGAGUCACAAUUCAGCCCAUAACAAUCAUGUUGAAGAGCACAGGCCCAGAGUUGAUCUGUGUUUAUUUCUUCCUCUCUAGAUACACUGCUACUCACCUUGUGUGCAUCCAUGCUUCGUUGUGUCCAAUUACUCUUUGUGACCUCAUGGACCGUAGCCACCAGGAUCCUCUGUCCAUGAGGUUUUCCAGGCAAGAAUACUUUGUCUGGAAAUUGCCAUUUCCUCCUUCGGGGUUCUUCCCGACCCAGGGAUUGAACUCUCAUCUUCUACCUUGGCAGGCAGAUUCUUUACCAUCUGAGCUACCUGGGAAGCCCAAUACUCAUCUUGCUGCUGCUGCUAAGUCGCUUCAGUCGUGUCCAACUCUACGCGACCGCAUAGAUGGCAGCCCACCAGGCUCCUCCAUCCCUGAGAUUCUCCAGGCAA